rnacentral:rRNA from 1 species
AUUGAACGCUGGCGGCAUGCCUUACACAUGCAAGUCGAACGGCAGCGCGGGAGCAAUCCUGGCGGCGAGUGGCGAACGGGUGAGUAAUAUAUCGGAACGUGCCCAGUAGUGGGGGAUAGCCCGGCGAAAGCCGGAUUAAUACCGCAUACGACCUACGGGUGAAAGGGGGGGAUCGCAAGACCUCUCGCUAUUGGAGCGGCCGAUAUCAGAUUAGGUAGUUGGUGGGGUAAAGGCCCACCAAGCCUACGAUCUGUAGUUGGUCUGAGGGGACGGCCCGCCACACUGGGACUGAGACACGGCCCAGACUCCUACGGGAGGCAGCAGUGGGGAAUUUUGGACAAUGGGGGCAACCCUGAUCCAGCAAUGCCGCGUGCAGGAAGAAGGCCUUCGGGUUGUAAACUGCUUUUGUCAGGGAAGAAAUCCUUGGGUUAAUACCUCGGGGGGAUGACGGUACCUGAAGAAUAAGCACCGGCUAACUACGUGCCAGCCGCCGCCGUAAAAC